rnacentral:rRNA from 1 species
UACGAAGGGGGCUAGCGUUGCUCGGAAUUACUGGGCGUAAAGGGAGCGUAGGCGGACAUUUAAGUCAGGGGUGAAAUCCCAGAGCUCAACUCUGGAACUGCCUUUGAUACUGGGUGUCUUGAGUGUGAGAGAGGUAUGUGGAACUCCGAGUGUAGAGGUGAAAUUCGUAGAUAUUCGGAAGAACACCAGUGGCGAAGGCGACAUACUGGCUCAUUACUGAACGCUGGAGGCGCGAAAGCGUGGGGAGCAAACAGG